AUGUACUUACGCUGUGCAGUUCAGGCCUCUCCAGCUAAAUGGGCUGCCUGGCUUCCACAGACAGAAUUCUGGUAUAAUUCUACUUACCAUUCUUCCUUAGGUUGCACCCCAUAUAAAGCAUUAUAUGGACAAGACCCAAAUGUGGGCCAGUUAGCAGGUCAGUCCACCUCCUUGAACCCGGAUGUUCAGACUUGGUUAGCAUCUCAGACUAAACACACAACAUUGCUCAAAGAUCAUUUGGCCAGAGCUCAGUGCAAGUAUAAACAUUUUGCUGAUAGAAAAAGGUCUGAUCGCCAGUUUGUGGUAGGAGAAACAGUGUAUCUACGGCUCCAACCCUAUGCCCAGUCGUCGGUGGUCAACCGUCCCUACCCCAAGCUGGCUCUUAAAUAUUUUGGACCAUUCAACAUUCUGGAGAAGAUUGGAAAUGCCGCAUACAGACUGGAGUUCCCGCGCGGUAGUCUGGUUCAUCCUGUGUUUCAUGUAUCCCAGCUCAAAGCACACAUACCGGAUCAUACUCCAGUGUUCACUACACUGCCUGUUCCUCUUGACUUGUCCUUGCCAGGAGUGCAACCUGAAGAAAUACUGGAUCGUUGUUUGGUCAAGAAAGGGAAUGCAUCACAUCUUCAGAUCUUAGUCAAGUGGACAAACAUUCCUGCAUCAUCCGCAACUUGGGAAGACUAUCAGGUGCUCAUGGAGCGCUAUCCGGAUGCACCAGCAUGGGGACACGCUAUUUCUUCAGGGGGAGGUAUUGUCAGUACCCUGGCGAUGACAAAGGCGCGUGCAAGGCAAGGGAAGCGGAAAUAA
rnacentral:rRNA from 1 species